rfam:Equus caballus chromosome 1, whole genome shotgun sequence.
ACCCUGGUGGUCUAGUGGUAAAGAUUUGGCACUCUCACCACCUUGGCCUGGGUUCGUUUCCCUGUCAGGGAA